UGGGGAAUUUUGGACAAUGGGCGAAAGCCUGAUCCAGCAAUGCCGCGUGUGUGAAGAAGGCCUUCGGGUUGUAAAGCACUUUUGUCCGGAAAGAAAUCCUUGGCUCUAAUACAGUCGGGGGAUGACGGUACCGGAAGAAUAAGCACCGGCUAACUACGUGCCAGCAGCCGCGGUAAUACGUAGGGUGCAAGCGUUAAUCGGAAUUACUGGGCGUAAAGCGUGCGCAGGCGGUUUGCUAAGACCGAUGUGAAAUCCCCGGGCUCAACCUGGGAACUGCAUUGGUGACUGGCAGGCUAGAGUAUGGCAGAGGGGGGUAGAAUUCCACGUGUAGCAGUGAAAUGCGUAGAGAUGUGGAGGAAUACCGAUGGCGAAGGCAGCCCCCUGGGCAAUACUGACGCUCAUGCACGAAAGCGUGGGGAGCAAACAGGAUUAGAUACCCUGGUAGUCCACGCCCUAAACGAUGUCAACUAGUUGUUGGGGACUUCAUUUCCUUAGUAACGUAGCUAACGCGUGAAGUUGACCGCCUGGGGAGUACGGUCGCAAGAUU
rnacentral:rRNA from 1 species